GCUAAUCAUAAAAAGAAAAAUAUUGUAUGACUCCACUUAUCUGAGUUUUAGUAAUUGGAAGAGGAAAAUGAACAUGACUCGAAAUGGAGGAGAAAAUGAUCUUUCAACAAGAUCAAGCUUUUUGAAGACAUUCUACUGUCCGGAUGAAAUUUUGUUUGAUUGAGAAUAUUUUUUCAAAACUUUUAAGACGUUUUAAAUGACUUACAUAUAAAUGUGGCAAAAAUGUCACAAAGGACCAAUGUCAGAUCUCUAAUAUAAAUAAAAACAAUAAAAAAUUACUUGAGUGGUAUAAGCACA